rnacentral:rRNA from 1 species
GGCCUACGGGACGCAGCAGUGAGGAAUAUUGGUCAAUGGGCGGAAGCCUGAACCAGCCAAGUCGCGUGAGGGAAGAAGGCCCUGCGGGUCGCAGACCUCUUUGGACGGGGAGCAAGGCCGCCGACGUGUCGGCGGAAGGAGAGUACCCGUAGAACAAGCAUCGGCUAACUCCGUGCCAGCAGCCGCGGUAAUACGUAGGUGGCAAGCGUUGUCCGGAUUUACUGGGUGUAAAGGGCGUGUAGCCGGGUUGACAAGUCAGAUGUGAAAUCCUGCGGCUUAACCGCAGAACUGCAUUUGAAACUGUU